UACGUAGGGUGCGAGCGUUAAUCGGAAUUACUGGGCGUAAAGCGUGCGCAGGCGGUUCGUUAAGUUCGUUGUGAAAGCCCCGGGCUUAACCUGGGAAUGGCAUUGGAAACUGGCGGGCUUGAGUGCGGCAGAGGGGGGUGGAAUUCCGCGUGUAGCAGUGAAAUGCGUAGAGAUGCGGAGGAACACCGAUGGCGAAGGCAGCCCCCUGGGUCGACACUGACGCUCAGGCACGAAAGCGUGGGGAGCAAACAGG
rnacentral:rRNA from 1 species